GGUGUGAGAGCUCAGAUAUUUCGGUUUGUCCGGACGAAUUUCCCGCGCCUCCUCUUCAUUAUUCCCGCUCAGUAAACCCUAAUCCAAGAUGGGUCAGAAGCAGCAACCCUCUGCUGAUCCACGCCCCGACAAUAAGAAAAAACGUCGCGUUGCCUUCUCCAACAUCGAUACUGGUAUUCCCGCGAAAGAUUGCAUCAAAAUCUAUCUGGUUUCUACGAAAGAGGAAGUGGGAAGUACAGACAGUCUUUGCAUUGACCCAGUUGACUUGAUCAGCUUCUUUGAAGAUGAGGAUGGAAAGAUUUAUGGUUACCCAGGUUUGAAGAUCACUGUAUGGUUCAGCAUUGCCUCAUUUCAUGCCUACGCUGACAUUGUUUUCGAGAGCACAUCUGAUGGUGGUAAGGGCAUUACAGAUCUGAAGUCUGCACUUCAGAAUAUAUUUGCUGAGACCCUUGUGGACAACAAAGAUGACUUCCUUCAAACUUUUUCAAAGGAUGUCAAUUUUAUUGGAUCCGUUGUUGCUGAUGGAGAAGUAUUACAUCCUAAAGCUUCCUCCAAUGGGCAAUUUAACGAGGCUAAGUUUCAUUUACAAGCAGCCAAUUCUGAUUUGGAGGUGAUCCGAUUGCCUAUGGAUAAGAUGGCUGGAAGAAACCUCUACAGUCGUUUGGUACCUCUUGCUCUUCUUCUUAUUGAUGGCAGCAGCCCGAUCGAUGUCACUGAUCCAAGAUGGGAAUUGUAUGUUCUUUCUCAAAAGAACAAUGGUCAAACUCAUCCUCGACUGCUUGGAUUUGCUGCCCUUUAUCGUUUCUACCACUAUCCCGAUAGUUCUCGUUUGCGUCUGAGUCAGAUGCUUAUACUCCCGCCUUACCAGUGUAAGGGGUUUGGAUGUUUUCUUUUGGAGGUUCUGAAUAACGUUGCAAUAUCGGAAAAUGUUUACGACUUCACCAUUGAAGAGCCAAUAAGUAAGCUACAGCAGUUGCGAACUUGCAUCGAUGUUAAACGUCUGCAGGGAUUCAGCCCCAUCGAAGAGGCUGUCUGUUCUGCCAUUUCGCAAUUUAAACUCGGAAAGCUAUCAAAGAAGAUCUCCUUCCCUCCACUUUUACCGUCACCUGAGGCUAUUGAAGCUGUUAGGAAAAGAUUGAAAAUUACAAAGGAACAGUUCUUACACUGUUGGGAGAUACUAAUCUAUCUAGGUAUCGAACACGACAAGCACAUGGAGGAUUUUAUUCUUGCAGUUUCAAGUCGAAUGCGAGAUGAUUUGAUAGGUGAAACCACAGACGCAGAAGGGAAGCAAUUGGUUGAUGUUCCUACCGAUUAUGAUCAAGAGAUGUCGUUCGUGAUGUUCAGAUCAACGAACAAUGCAACUGGUGUCGAGAUGGAGGAAUCACGAGCUAAUCAAGCGGAACAGCUCAAGAAGUUAGUAGAUGAUAGAGUGAAAGAAAUCAAGUUAAUUGCACAGAAGGUAUCUUCGGAUCAAAUCCGAAGCAUUUCAAAACCGAUCUAGAUGGAGCUCUCUUUUCACAAAAAUCCGUCCCUCUGAUUAACUGGAAAUGAACAUUCGCUAAAAAUAAUGUAUGGUUUAAUUGUUGUAUUUUACAUUUAUUAUAAUCUAACUUUGAU